UGCCGCCAUGCAAACACGGCGCCACCUGCAGUCCUCACAACACCUGCACCUGUCCAGAGGGCACAGCAGGCCUACGCUGUGAGAGACUGACGUGCCCUGUGGUCACCACGGUGGUCAGUAUGGCUCGAGCAGUGAGAAAGGCAUUCAGGGAGAGUUAUGUUGACCGCUGUGGACCCCUGGGAGUUCAGCUUUGCACUAAAUACAGGAUAAACCAGGCUCGCGUGUACCUGCAGGCCUACAGGGUGGGCUACAAAAUCCAGUGUCCAGAGAGGAAGGGCAGAUGAAGGCCUUGUCACAAGGAACCAUCAGCCACCAACACAACCAACAUUUUGGGCAACAGACAACAAGUGAAAUGAGACUGAAAAUGAGAUGAAACUUAAUCAGUGUGAG